UACGGAGGGUGCAAGCGUUGUCCGGAAUCACUGGGCGUAAAGGGCGCGUAGGCGGCUCGGUAAGUAGGGGGUGAAAUCCUGCGGCUUAACCGCAGGGCUGCCUUCUAAACUGUCGAGCUCGAGCACGGUAGAGGCAGAUGGAAUUCCCGGUGUAGCGGUGGAAUGCGUAGAGAUCCGGAAGAACACCGGUGGCGAAGGCGGUCUGCUGGGCAGUAGCUGACGCUGAUGCGCGACAGCGUGGGGAGCAAACAGG
rnacentral:rRNA from 1 species